rnacentral:rRNA from 1 species
GACGAACGCUGGCGGCGUGCUUAACACAUGCAAGUCGAACGGAAAGGCCCUGCUUUUGUGGGGUGCUCGAGUGGCGAACGGGUGAGUAACACGUGAGUAACCUGCCCUUGACUUUGGGAUAACUUCAGGAAACUGGGGCUAAUACCGGAUAGGAGCUCCUGCUGCAUGGUGGGGGUUGGAAAGUUUCGGCGGUUGGGGAUGGACUCGCGGCUUAUCAGCUUGUUGGUGGGGUAGUGGCUUACCAAGGCUUUGACGGGUAGCCGGCCUGAGAGGGUGACCGGCCACAUUGGGACUGAGAUACGGCCCAGACUCCUACGGGAGGCAGCAGUGGGGAAUAUUGCACAAUGGGCGGAAGCCUGAUGCAGCAACGCCGCGUGCGGGAUGACGGCCUUCGGGUUGUAAACCGCUUUCGCCUGUGACGAAGCGUGAGUGACGGUAAUGGGUAAAGAAGCACCGGCUAACUACGUGCCAGCAGCCGCGGUGAUACGUAGGGUGCGAGCGUUGUCCGGAUUUAUUGGGCGUAAAGGGCUCGUAGGUGGUUGAUCGCGUCGGAAGUGUAAUCUUGGGGCUUAACCCUGAGCGUGCUUUCGAUACGGGUUGACUUGAGGAAGGUAGGGGAGAAUGGAAUUCCUGGUGGAGCGGUGGAAUGCGCAGAUAUCAGGAGGAACACCAGUGGCGAAGGCGGUUCUCUGGGCCUUUCCUGACGCUGAGGAGCGAAAGCGUGGGGAGCGAACAGGCUUAGAUACCCUGGUAGUCCACGCUGUAAACGGUGGGUACUAGGUGUGGGGUCCAUUCCACGGGUUCCGUGCCGUAGCUAACGCUUUAAGUACCCCGCCUGGGAAGUACGGCCGCAAGGCUAAAACUCAAAGGAAUUGACGGGGCCCCGCACAAGCGGCGGAGCAUGCGGAUUAAUUCGAUGCAACGCGUAGAACCUUACCUGGGUUUGACAUGGAUCGGGAGUGCUCAGAGAUGGGUGUGCCUCUUUUGGGGUCGGUUCACAGGUGGUGCAUGCCUGUCGUCAGCUCGUGUCGUGAGAUGUUGGGUUAAGUCUCGCAACGAGCGCAACCCUUGUUCACUGUUGCCAGCACGUUAUGGUGGGGACUCAGUGGAGACCGCCGGGGUCAACUCGGAGGAAGGUGGGGAUGACGUCAAGUCACCAUGCCCCUUAUGUCCAGGGCUUCACGCAUGCUACAAUGGCUGGUACAGAGAGUGGCGAGCCUGUGAGGGUGAGCGAAUCUCGGAAAGCCGGUCUCAGUUCGGAUUGGGGUCUGCAACUCGACCUCAUGAAGUCGGAGUCGCUAGUAAUCGCAGAUCAGCAACGCUGCGGUGAAUACGUUCCCGGGGCU